ACUCUUUAGCAAAAGCAAACUGA
rnacentral:snRNA from 1 species